rnacentral:rRNA from 1 species
UACGUAGGGUGCGAGCGUUAAUCGGAAUUACUGGGCGUAAAGCGUGCGCAGGCGGCCGCGUAAGCCAGAGGUGAAAUCCCCGGGCUCAACCUGGGAAUGGCCUUUGGGACUGCGUGGCUCGAGUGCGGCAGAGGGGGGUGGAAUUCCUGGUGUAGCAGUGAAAUGCGUAGAUAUCAGGAGGAACACCGAUGGCGAAGGCAGCCCCCUGGGCCAGCACUGACGCUCAGGCACGAAAGCGUGGGGAGCAAACAGG